UUUCUGCAACGUAGUCAUGGCACACACAGACACACAGCUGAGGGUCAUGGGACACACAGACACACAGCUGAGGGUCAUGGGACACACAGACACACAGCUGAGGGUCAUGGCACAGACAGACACACAGCUGAGGGUCAUGGCACACAUGGCACACACAGACACACAGCUGAGGGUCAUGGCACACACAGACACACAGCUGAGGGCAGGAGGAGAUGGGGCCCCGUGGACCUCGGGGAGGGUGUCAGGGCUCGUCCCCUCAUCUCUGCAAAGCUUCCUGCAGAGCAAAGGGGCUCUGCGUUGGCUGG